UCAACCUCCAGUCAAGUACAGACCCAGGGAAACUUCUGUUGCAAGGGCCAUCCACUACGCCGUGAAGUUGAACAGCCCCGAAGUUGUAACCUUUUAUCUAAGAUUGACAUAUUUUAUCGUGAUGUUGCACAUGCUGAUCGUCAUCGCCGAACUGACCUGUUGAAGAUGGUGAAGAGGAGAAAGGUUGACACUAUUAAUCUGGCCUGGACGUCUCUCCUCGAGACACUGUCCAAGUUGCCAAGUCAUGAGAAAAUGGAUGUCCUGGACCUGGAGACCACAUCAGCUGUGUUUUCAAGUUUUUGCGGUACAGUAGUGGCAAGAAAGCCGUCCAUCAUGCCAGCAUCAUCCGCAGCAGCAACAGCAGCAGCAGCACCCCUGCCCACCGCCAUAGUCAACUGCACUGCAGAGACACCAAAAAGAUACCAUGGUGGUUGGUAUGUUGUUGCGGUGAGAAGAGAACUGGAAGCUAGCAGAAAGCCUGAGUUAACUAGCGUCAAGCCGGUGUUGGCGACUUUCGGCUAUGAAAUUCUGGCCAACAUGUCUCCGAAUCUACCAAACUUUGAGAAGAUAAUUGAAUCUGA